rnacentral:antisense_RNA from 1 species
GGCUCAGGCCUCGCCAGGAAGGCACGACAUUGCUCACAUUGCUUCCAUAUUUUUAGCCAGCUCGGGUGCUGGCUUUUUUUU